rnacentral:miRNA from 1 species
UCGUAUACUGAUAGUAUCCUGA